GUAGUAUUCCCUCCGUCCCAAAAUUCUUGUCUUACAUUUGUUUAGAUAUGGAUGUAUCUAGCACUAAAAUGUAACUAGAUACAUCUGUAUUUAGACAAAUUUAAGACAAGAAUUUUGGGACGGAGGGAGUACAAA
rnacentral:pre_miRNA from 1 species